AUCGCUUCUCGGUCUUUUGGCUAAGAUCGAGUGUAGUAUCUGUUCCUAUAGUUUAGUGUCUGAUACGUCCUCUAUCUGAGGACAGUACAUUAAAUGGAUUUUUGGAAGCAGAAGGUGGAACAGGAGCUUGCUCCGUCCACUCCACGCAUCGACCUGGUAUAGCAGUACCUCCAGGAAUGGUGCACCAAAA
rnacentral:snRNA from 1 species